UUUUUACAUAUUUUGUGGUUCUGUAUUCAAUCAUAGUUGCAAUAGAAUUCACUUAAUCUAAGAACUACUUAACGGUUUCACUCUUCAAACAUGGAGUUUAAUGGAGGCUCUACCCGCUGCACACACACACAUACCGGGAUUGUAUCUUUUGCGGACACAGAGUUCAUAUUAUUAUGAAUUAUUGGAUUUUUUAGAUAUCACUGAUAGCUUGAAUUGAGUCCAAACAUCCAAUCGUCAUGUAAAGGAUUUUGCUAAGCGCAGUGUGAAAGCAAAUCA